rnacentral:rRNA from 1 species
CCUACGGGCGGCAGCAGUGGGGAAUAUUGCACAAUGGGGGAAACCCUGAUGCAGCGACGCCGUGUGAGUGAAGAAGUAUUUCGGUAUGUAAAGCUCUAUCAGCAGGGAAGAAGAAAGACGGUACCUGACUAAGAAGCCCCGGCUAACUACGUGCCAGCAGCCGCGGUAAUACGUAGGGGGCAAGCGUUAUCCGGAUUUACUGGGUGUAAAGGGAGCGUAGACGGCUGUGCAAGUCUGAAGUGAAAGCCCAGGGCUCAACCCUGGGACUGCUUUGGAAACUGGGGAGCUAGAGUGCUGGAGAGGUAAGUGGAAUGCGUAGUGUAGCGGUGAAAUGCGUAGAUAUUAGGAGGAACACCAGUGGCGAAGGCGGCUUACUGGACAGUAACUGACGUUGAGGCUCGAAAGCGUGGGGAGCGAACAGGAUUAGAUACCCCUGUAGUC